GGCCAAGCCCUGGGCAGCCCCCCCCCCCGGCAGCCACGCUGGGUCUGGCCCGUGGCCCGGCUGCCCACAGGCUCCCCGUCCGCUCCUCCACUGCCAGCGGGGGCAGUCACAGGCUGGGGGCCCCGACCCCGUGGCUAAGAGCCGUGGCUGGGCCCAUGCGCCGGGAACGCACUGAGUUCAGAACACGCCAGCAAGGCUUCUGCAGCAGGCCCUGCUCUGCACCAAGGCAGCUGGGCUGCCUAGUCAUAGCGUCUGGUGACUCUUCUUUUUGUGUUGUGUGGCUGGGUAAAUAACACCUCCCGAUUCCCCUUCUCCACAGCGGUUGUAUGUGUGUGGUGAGGAACACGUGUAAUCACUCCUAGACAGUGGCAGCAAUGAACUCCUUUAUUUUGUUUUAACCAGGAACCGGAAAACUACAGACAACUGCCUUCUAGGAAGGAGGAAGCUGAACUGAACCUCAAGAAAAUCGGUCUCUCUCUAAAUAACAAUUUAUGGGUACAAACAGAAGCCCUCCAGUGAACUAGAACUGGGGAGGUCAGCCAUGAGUGGAUAGGGCAACCAGAACUGCAUGCAGUGUUCAAGAUGAACAAUGCUGAACUAUACAGUUUACCAACACCCCUACCGGAGCAACCUUGGAAGAGACUAGCUGCAGAUUUAUGCAGAUUCAGAAGACAUCAUUACCUGGUCAUCUGAGCUAUUUUUCCAGGGACACUAGGAGCCACCAUUAUCCGCUAGUGCUAGAGAGGCUGAAAGAGCUGUACAGACAGCCAAGAAAACCCUACAGCAGCAAAAUCCAUUCCUUGUUCUUCUGAGCUACAGAUCAACACCAGUAGCAGCAACUAGAUACAGUCCAGCACAACUCCUGUUGGGGAGACAACUCAGAACUACUGUUCCAACUUUGGAAAAAAAAAAUCUAUCUCCAAGGUGGCCAGACAUGAAGAGAGUAGCUAAAUCAAAUACAAAGGCAAAAAGAUUUUAUGAACAUUUUUACAACAGACAUGACAGACAACUGCCAGGUCUAGAACUUGGAAACCAUGUUCAUGUCAAAUUGGAUGGAGAAAAAGGAUGGAUAAACUCCUAAAGACAAAGAAUUCAGCACCCAAAUCAUAUGUAACAGGCUGACAGUGGAGAGUUCAACAGAAACCAUCGACAUUUACAGUGUUUUCCUCAGAAAGAAUAAUCAAGAGAGCAAACUCUACAGAUGGUAAGUGCAGAACAAGAAGAUGACUGAGGGAUUCCUGACCAGCUACAGCCAGCCAUUGCAACUAAUGGACAGCCAGAUGAACAAGUUGUUACACGUUCAGGUCAUGUAAUCAGAAACCAGUAUGAUUCAGAGACAGUCGACAGACUGUUACAUAUUGAAUUUCAAAGAUAGUGGUAGCGUAAAUAUUGUAAGUGGUAGGAACGUAGAAUUUAUAGGUGAUGUAAUGCAGUGCUAAAUUUACUGUACUGUUCAGCCAGUAGGUGGCACUGUGUGUAACAUACAUACCUGAGGAAGUGGUUUUUUUUACCCACGAAAGCUUAUGCCCAAAUAAAUCUGUUAGUCUUUAAGGUG